GUCUAGCUCUUGGAUAGCUCAGUUGGUUAGAGAGUGGUGCUGAUAACACCAAGGUUGCUGGUUCGAUCCCCAUAUGGGACA
rnacentral:tRNA from 1 species